UAAUUUGAAAAAAAAAGGCUGCAAUGAUCCUUUCAAAAUAAAGCCAGGUCAUUUUUUUCUCCUCUGCUCAGAAUCUUCCAAUACUUCCCAUCCCUGUCAAAAUAAAAUUUAACAUCCUUCCCAUAACCCAUAAGCUCUGUAAGAUCUGGCCCAGGCUACUUCUCUGCCAUUAUUCCAGCCACCCUCUACCUGUUCUUUCACUUUUGACAAAUUGGCUUCCUUGUUAUUCACGAAAUUGACCAGUCAUGUCCCUACCUUUUGAAUUGUUGCCUAUUCUUCCCAAACAGAAUUCUCUCCUGCCAGAUAUCUGCACACGCAGUCCUCUGCAACGUGUCAGAGGGGAAUACACUCUUGUCAGAGGCCCUUGCUCACCAUCAAAUCUAAUAGAAGAUGCAAUUUAUGUGGCACAGGGUUUAGCCAAGGAAGCAUGAAUUGAGAACCACUGGAUUGGAAUCUUGGUUUUUUGACACCCUGCUUCCCAUUCUGUCUGCAAUUAAUAAAGAAGCUCAUGGUGGCGCCUGGGUGGCUCAGUCAGUUCUAAAAUAUAGAGAAUGGGCCAGGAUUACUACUCAAAAAUAACUUGGUGAUGAAAUACAGAAAAUUUAUGGAAGCGAUUAGACUAUAUGGAAAAAGG